UACCAGCACCCCGAGUGGUCGGGACGAUUAUUGGGCCUAAAGCAUCCGUAGCCGGUCAUGCAAGUCUUCCGUUAAAUCCAGCCGCUCAACGGUUGGGCUGCGGAGGAUACUACGUGGCUAGGAGGCGGGAGAGGCAAGCGGUACUCAGUGGGUAGGGGUAAAAUCCUCUGAUCCAUUGAAGACCACCAGUGGCGAAGGCGGCUUGCCAGAACGCGCUCGACGGUGAGGGAUGAAAGCUGGGGGGAGCAAACCGG
rnacentral:rRNA from 1 species